UUCUCACCCUUACUUCAACAACAUCAACUUGUUGCAGCUGCCGCCGGUCUCUCCUCGAAGGAAACAAUACAUCAACUACCGCCGGUCUUUGCUGGAUUAACCUUGCCUCGCUGCCAAACCCUCCCUUCCCCACCUCGCCUCGCCACCAAGCCCAUCCCCAGCCUUCCUCCCCACCACCACUGUUGAGGAGAAAAUGGCUGUUGGCCACAAUCUCCUCCCCACUUGCCGUCGUGUUUACCUCGAUCACAGAUCACCACCUUCCCACAAACCCGUUUUGAUUCAAGCGAACCGGACAAAAGGGGGAUGAUAUGGGGGGAAGAGGUUGAGAAUGAGCCAGGCAGAGACGAGGCAUAGAAGGAUGAGGAUAGAGAACUAUGGUUUGAACUCUGUGUUUGCGGAGUUUCUGAGCCCUAGAUGAUCAAUUUAGGUUUGAACUAUGGCUUUCUUCUUCGACGGUUAGCGUCGCCAAUCAGAGUUGCUUGCCCCCUUUUUCAUUUUAGGAAAACGAAAAAAUGGAUCACGGCUCCAACAUUUGUCUCAUUCAGCUUUGAUUGGGCAGAGUGCGCAAGUCGGUGGGCACUUACCCAUGUUAUCUGGGCAAGCUGCAACAGCAGCGGCUUCCGCUCAAUUCAUCCCUGGCUUCGUCGGAGAUAUCAUUCAACAUAUUUUGAGAUUGACAAAUCUGGAGAGGUCGGGAAUGGGGCGAGUGAGGGAGUUGUUUUGCAAGCUGAUGGACAGAGAUUGCAGAGGAUUAAGGAUGUAAUCAGCGAGCCCCUUGCUUCAGACAUCGACUGUUGCUAUUACCUGAAAACUGAAAAAUAAGGAGAAAAACGAACCAGAUGUCAUAUCUUAGUAUCUCCCAGAAAUCUGGGUUCCGUGCAGAUUUUAGAGAUACUCAGCAGAUCCGGCGUUUCAUUCAACAAUCACUGUUCAUCGACAACAUCGCACGAUUGAUACUGUUGCUGAAGAAGACAAUACAUGCAAAGGAGGAAGGGAGUGCCGGUCGAGAGGAAGAGUUCGCAUGACCGCCCCACAAACGUCCCACACGACGUGCGACUGACACCUGUCCAGUUGCACGCGGUGGGGCGUUCCCGCGUGCGACGCUAACGUGACGGACGUUAGCCCCGCCAGUUAGCCCCAAAACCAACUCAAAAGUGCUGGAACGCGCCCCCCUGAAGCUCUUUUCCCAUAUUCGCACCCCUCCUGAAGCUCAAAUCGGAGGAGAGGCUCUGACCCCCGUUCUCUGCCCGAGCUCGGAUCUCCGCUUCCAUCUCCGGCACCGGUGAACGCUCCGGUUACCAGUUUUGGCUAGCUUAGGAAAAAACGACAGAAGGAGAAAGAGAAGGUAGUGCAGUGAUUGGCUAUGGCUACACAAAGCAGAAUUUUCAAACUUUAUUAUUAAUUUGUAUGCUUUGGUACAGAUACAGAAAGCUGAAUUUUCAAACACUUUAUUAUUAAUUUGUAUGCUUUGGUACAAAUGUUGUUUGGCUA